UCUAACGCUGCCCAAUUUUUGAAGAACGUCAAAUGUGACAAUUUAGUGCGCGGUGAAUAGUCGCGCCAACAAUAGGUCUUAUGAUAUACAAGCGUAAUCAGUGGUCAAGGACAAACAAAUGUAUUACUAUUUUAUGACGACAACGACGACCUUUCAGCAUUGACCACACGGAUGGACUUCUCUUGAAAACUCCACACCCAGGAUUUUGUUGGUCUCUUCCACUGGAGUUGUUGGCGUUGUCGCGUUCUACGUGUUGGUAUAGUGUAGCGUUCUUUCUCUGCGUCACCGCGGCCAGCCCCGAGCCAUGCCACGCCACGGUGGACAGUGGUGCCACCUAAAGGCCAAAAUACUAAAAACGGUUGACUUGUUUUUUCACUACCGUUCCUUUUCAUAGAUCAAUAAUGAUCUCAAGAGUGUUGAAACACAUAUUUUUACAUGUCGUUGUUAAAUAUUUAUAGUAAAAGCGUUUAUGACGGAGUACAAUUUCUUGUUUUAAAAAUAUCUUAAAAAUGUAUGUGAUUCCUGCAUUCGUAUUCGUAUUCUGUAUUUUAAUGUCAUAGUUAACUAAAAUCAAUCAAGUACAUAUUAUCCUCAAAAUAGUAGGGCAUCCACCAUUCCAAAUUUAUAUUACAGUGUUAUUUGAUAAUAAUUUGAUCUAAUAUUGAUUUUUAGCAAAGCACUUUAAUCAAAAUU